AUUGAACGCUGGCGGCAGGCCUAACACAUGCAAGUCGAGCGGAGCGGCGGACGGACGAGUGAUUCCUAGGAAUCUGCCUGGUAGUGGGGGAUAACGUCCGGAAACGGGCGCGAAUACCGCAUCGUUUGAGAUGAGCCUAGGUCGGAUUGGCUAUUUGGUGGGGUAAAGGCCUACCAGGGCGACUGUCGGGAACUGGUCUGAGAGGAUGAUCAGUCACACUGGAACUGAGACACGGUGCAGACUCCUACGGGAGGCAGCAGUGGGGAAUAUUGGACAAUGGGCGAAAGCCUGAUCCAGCCAUGCCGCGUGUGUGAAGAAGGUCUUCGGAUUGUAAAGCACUUUAAGUUGGGAGGCGUUACCAACAGAAUAAGCACCGGCUAACUUCGUGCCAGCAGCCGCGGUAAUAC
rnacentral:rRNA from 1 species